UGACUUCAGCAGUAUGCACAGUAAAGUUGGAAUGAUACAGAGAAGAUUAGCUUGGCCCCUGCACAAAGAUGAUAUACAAAUUCAAGAAGUGUUAAAAAAUGGU